GAGUUUGAUCCUGGCUCAGGAUGAACGCUAGCGGCAGGCCUAACACAUGCAAGUCGAACGGUAACAGAGAAGAGCUUGCUCUUUUGCUGACGAGUGGCGCACGGGUGCGUAACGCGUAUACAAUCUACCUUUUACAGGGGUAUAGCCUUUAGAAAUGAAGAUUAACACCCCAUAGUAAGUAUUUAUGGCAUCAUAGAAACUUUAAAACUUCGGUGGUAAAAGAUGAGUAUGCGUUCUAUUAGCUAGAUGGUGUGGUAACGGCACACCAUGGCAACGAUAGAUAGGGGCCCUGAGAGGGGGAUCCCCCACACUGGUACUGAGACACGGACCAGACUCCUACGGGAGGCAGCAGUGAGGAAUAUUGGACAAUGGGCGAGAGCCUGAUCCAGCCAUGCCGCGUGCAGGAAGACUGCCCUAUGGGUUGUAAACUGCUUUUAUAUGGGAAGAAACCACAGAACGUGUUCUGUGCUGACGGUACCAUAAGAAUAAGGAUCCGCUAACUCCGUGCCAGCAGCCGCGGUAAUAC
rnacentral:rRNA from 1 species